AAUGGGCGCAAGCCUGAUCCAGCCAUGCCGCGUGCGGGAAGAAGGCCUUCGGGUUGUAAACCGCUUUUGUCAGGGAAGAAAAGCUCUGGGCUAAUACCCCGGGGUCAUGACGGUACCUGAAGAAUAAGCACCGGCUAACUACGUGCCAGCAGCCGCGGUAAUACGUAGGGUGCAAGCGUUAAUCGGAAUUACUGGGCGUAAAGCGUGCGCAGGCGGUGAUGCAAGACAGAUGUGAAAUCCCCGGGCUCAACCUGGGAACUGCAUUUGUGACUGCAUCGCUGGAGUGCGGCAGAGGGGGAUGGAAUUCCGCGUGUAGCAGUGAAAUGCGUAGAUAUGCGGAGGAACACCGAUGGCGAAGGCAAUCCCCUGGGCCUGCACUGACGCUCAUGCACGAAAGCGUGGGGAGCAAA
rnacentral:rRNA from 1 species